CUAGGGAUCCGGGUUUCGAGGGAGGGUAGCGAUCGAGCACUUGAGCACGAGCUGAGAAGAAAUGCGGGGAGAACAAUAGGCUAGAGGUAACCAGGAGCUGGUGCUGCGUCAUCCCUGGUGUCUGAGUUUGUCUUCACCGACGCGGUAACGAGGUACACGUCAAGCAAAGAGCUCAUCUUUCCGCGACCUGUCACGAAAACCGACCACCCACAAUUUUUUCCAAGCACGAUCGCAUUAUCUCACAGAAUUUUCGUUGUCAAUGAGUUCUAAGAUAAUCUGCAUCACACAGCUAGUUAAUUAAAAAUAAAUCACGUCAUAGAUCGAAUAUACUUAACUCUACACGAGCACUUCACUUAUGGUGUCUUUCCAUGCACGUGAUUGGUAAGAAAAAUUGCUAGUUUCCUACAUAAAAUCAGAGAUGGCACUUUGACACGUGUUCGAAAGAGGCACGUGUGGUGUAAAAUAUAGUGAAUUGAUAUAUUGAUCUCGUGAUCUCUAAUUUUUUUGGUGCAUGGUUAAUUUCCGUUUCUUCGUUUCUAUAGCCUGCAUAAAAAUUUAUUCGCAGCUGCUUGAUCUUUCCGCGUCGUUUCGCACCGCGCAAACGACCGUAGACACUCGGCCAAUACAUACUUAUCAAAUGCAGGCGGCAUAGUCAGUACAAAACGAUAUGUACGAAUAAGAAAAGGACAAUACGGCAAAUCACGCAAGACCAAGCGAGAUAAGAGAGAAGAACGAAAUGGAUGCCUGUACUCGUGUACGAAUAUACGAAUAAAUGUGUGCGCGUGCGCGUUGCAUGUACACAUUCACAGAGCAUCCAACGUAUGUCACGAUAUUACAUGGGUUGCUGCGUUUUUACGUUGCCGGAGAGCAAUGCGUACACCAUGGCGGAAGUGCGUAAGAGAACGCCGACUGCCAGAGGAAAGAAAAUAGAAAGAAUAGAGAAGAGAAGAAGAGCAGAGAAGAAAAAAAAGAAAAAACUAAAGAAGGGAGAGAGAACGAAGGCAGAAGAGAACUCGGAUGUGCCGUGGAGCAGAGUCGUGUGAGG
rnacentral:lncRNA from 1 species